GCGAUUCCAUUCCCAACCUCUCUGCCGGCCCGUUAAAAUAUCCUCUCCGCCGGCAGCGGCCCAGGCGGCUCAAGGCGGCGAUACCACGCAUGGCGGACGCCUCUCCUCUUCCACCGCCUCGCCGGUCACGUUGGAGGUGUCUCAUGGCUGGUCCCCCGAAGGCCUGAAGCUGGACAAGGACGGGUUGGAGGCGCGCGCGGCGGCGGUCUCGCCGGAACCGGACAAGGAAGGGAUGGAGGCGCUAUUGGAGUUGGUGCUGGCUUCUUCUCCAUGUGCUCCUCCCCCUCCUCCCCGCCGGCAGCGGUCUCCGAGCGGCGAUGCUGUCUCCCGCACGGACCCGCCUUUAUGACCACGCUGCUCCACAUGGACGUCUUGUAUCGCGCCGGCGACAAGCUCCAGCUAGAUCUCGGGUCGUGUCCACCAACUAUCCUCGUCUGAUUUUCAUUGGAAAAUUAUCGAAGUACUAAAACAAUAUUGUUAAAGAAACCAGAUGUAGGUGUUGUUUGCUUGCUUGGAUUUGAUAAUUAGAACUUCCCAUGCAAAUAACAAGUCAAUGACACAUUAGAAAACA